GAUGAACGCUGGCGGCGUGCCUAAUACAUGCAAGUCGAGCGAACGGACGAGAAGCUUGCUUCUCUGAUGUUAGCGGCGGACGGGUGAGUAACACGUGGAUAACCUACCUAUAAGACUGGGAUAACUUCGGGAAACCGGAGCUAAUACCGGAUAAUAUUUUGAACCGCAUGGUUCAAAAGUGAAAGACGGUCUUGCUGUCACUUAUGGAUGGAUCCGCGCUGCAUUAGCUAGUUGGUAAGGUAACGGCUUACCAAGGCAACGAUGCAUAGCCGACCUGAGAGGGUGAUCGGCCACACUGGAACUGAGACACGGUCCAGACCCCUACGGGAGGCAGCAGUAGGGAAUCUUCCGCAAUGGGCGAAAGCCUGACGGAGCAACGCCGCGUGAGUGAUGAAGGUCUUCGGAUCGUAAAACUCUGUUAUUAGGGAAGAACAUAUGUGUAAGUAACUGUGCACAUCUUGACGGUACCUAAUCAGAAAGCCACGGCUAACUACGUG
rnacentral:rRNA from 1 species